CCCAGACUCCUACGGGAGGCAGCAGUGGGGGAUAUUGCACAAUGGGGGGAACCCUGAUGCAGCGACGCCGCGUGGGUGAAGGAGCGUUUCGGCGCGUAAAGCCCUCUCGGCAGGGAAGAAGGAGGACGGUACCUGACUAAGAAGCCCCGGCUAACUACGUGCCAGCAGCCGCGGUAAUACGUAGGGGGCAAGCGUUAUCCGGAUUUACUGGGUGUAAAGGGGGCGCGGACGGCAGCGCAAGCCAGGAGUGAGAGCCCGGGGCCCAACCCCGGGACUGCUCUUGGAACUGCGCGGCUGGAGUGCAGGAGGGGCAGGCGGAAUUCCUGGUGUAGCGGUGAAAUGCGUAGAUAUCAGGAGGAACACCGGUGGCGAAGGCGGCCUGCUGGACUGCGACUGACGUUGAGGCCCGAAAGCGUGGGGAGCAAACAGGAUUAGAUACCCGCGUAACU
rnacentral:rRNA from 1 species